GCGAGCGUGGCCAAGCGGUUACGGCAGUGGGUUGUGGUUCCAUCAUUCGCGGGUUCGAAUCCCGUCGUUCGCC
rnacentral:tRNA from 1 species